rfam:Otolemur garnettii contig014432, whole genome shotgun sequence.
GUGCUCACUCUGGAGGCACAUAUACUCAAAUUGGAAAGAUACAGAGGAUAGCAUGGCCCCUGCCUGAAGAUGACAUGGAAAUUUGUGAAGUGUUCCAUAUCCUU